CCUACGGGUGGCAGCAGUGAGGAAUAUUGGUCAAUGGGCUUACGCCUGAACCAGCCAAGUCGCGUGAGGGAAGACUGCCCUAUGGGUUGUAAACCUCUUUUGUCAGGGAGCAAUUGGCGCUACGUGUAGCGUUAUCGAGAGUACCUGACGAAAACGCAUCGGCUAUCUCCGUGCCAGCGGCCGCGGUAAUCCGGAGGAUGCGAGCGUUAUCCGGAUUUAUUGGGUUUAAAGGGUACGUAGGCGGAAUGCCAAGUCAGCGGGAAAAUCGCGGGGCUCAACCUCGCUCCGCCGUUGAAACUGGCGUUCUUGAGUGGGCGAGAAGUAUGCGGAAUGCGUGGUGUAGCGGUGAAAUGCAUAGAUAUCACGCAGAAUUCCGAUUGCGAAGGCAGCAUACCGGCGCCCAACUGACGCUGAAGCACGAAAGCGUGGGUAUCGAACAGGAUUAGAUACCCGUGUAGUC
rnacentral:rRNA from 1 species